GUCGACGGUAAGGCCCUUUCGGGGGUACACGAGUGGCGAACGGGUGAGUAACACGUGGGUGACCUGCCCUGUACUUCGGGAUAAGCCUGGGAAACUGGGUCUAAUACCGGAUAUGACCUUCUCCUGCAUGGGGGUUGGUGGAAAGCUUUUGCGGUACAGGAUGGGCCCGCGGCCUAUCAGCUUGUUGGUGGGGUAAUGGCCUACCAAGGCGACGACGGGUAGCCGGCCUGAGAGGGCGACCGGCCACACUGGGACUGARACACGGCCCAGACUCCUACGGGAGGCAGCAGUGGGGAAUAUUGCACAAUGGGCGCAAGCCUGAUGCAGCGACGCCGCGUGAGGGAUGACGGCCUUCGGGUUGUAAACCUCUUUCAGUAGGGACGAAGCGCAAGUGACGGUACCUACAGAAGAAGCACCGGCCAACUACGUGCCAGCAGCCGCGGUAAUACGUAGGGUGCAAGCGUUGUCCGGAAUUACUGGGCGUAAAGAGCUCGUAGGCGGUUUGUCACGUCGUCUGUGAAAACCCGAGGCUUAACCUCGGGCCUGCAGGCGAUACGGGCAGACUUGAGUACUGUAGGGGAGACUGGAAUUCSUGGUGUAGCGGUGGAAUGCGCAGAUAUCAGGAGGAACACCGGUGGCGAAGGCGGGUCUCUGGGCAGUAACUGACGCUGAGGAGCGAAAGCGUGGGUAGCGAACAGGAUUAGAUACCCUGGUASUCCACGCCGUAAACGGUGRGUACUAGGUGUGGGUUUCCUUCCACGGGAUCCGUGCCGUAGCUAACGCAUUAAGUA
rnacentral:rRNA from 1 species